rnacentral:rRNA from 1 species
GAGUUUGAUCGUGGCUCAGAGUGAACGCUGGCGGCAGGCCUAACACAUGCAAGUCGAAACGGCAAGCACAGAGGAGCUUGCUCCUUGGGUGGCGAGUGGCGGACGGGUGAGGAAAUGCAUCGGAAAUCUGCCUAUUUGUGGGGGGAUAAACGUAGGGAAACUUACGCUAAAUACCGCAUACGUCCUACGGGAGAAAAAGUGGGGGGACCGCAAAGGCCUCACGCAGAUAGAUGAGCCGAUGCCGGAUUAGCUAGUUGCGGGGUAAAAGGCCCACCAAAGGCGACGAUCCGUAGCUGGUCUGAGAGGAUGAUCAGCCACACUGGAACUGAGACACGGUCCAGACUCCUACGGGAGGCAGCAGUGGGGGAAUAUUGGACAAUGGGGGCAACCCUGAUCCAGCCAUGCCGCGUGAGUGAAGAAGGCCU